rnacentral:rRNA from 1 species
UUAGAACAGCACAUGCGGUUUGGCCGAGAAUGGGUCGCGCAGAACACGCAAGUCCGGGCGUUCCGCAAUCGUGUACCCUGCGCCAAAGUCACCAAAUGCGAUUGGCGUGGCAUCGACACCCAUGUCAGGCAUGUCUUCCGCAAUCAAAACGGGGUAUCCAAGCAAACGUGCCGGUUCGCCGGCGGCCAGGCCAUCGGACCACAAAAAGCGGCCAUCGGCAUCUUUCAGCUUGCGAAUUGUGCCAGCAGUUUUGGAAUUCAUGACGAAAGUCGCAUUCGCACGAUAUUCAGCACCUAGACUGUAAACCAGGUCAACGAUCGGAUCACCGUCGUUGAUAUCACCUUCCACACCGGUCACGGCAUAGCCGAUAUUGCCCCAGCUCCAACUUGUGUUGGCGACAUUGGAAUAAUCAAGAAAGCCACGUGGCUUAUCAACCCCAUCACCGUUUACGAACGCACUGGCUUCCGAGCGGGAAAACUUGUCAGCGAUACGUCCAGCAAGCCAGCUUUCAAUGUCGAAUGCACUGUCAUCCAGCAGCCGUUGCGAGACUUUUGGCAGCGCCGACAAUUCGUGUAGCGCGAUGCUGAUACGAUCAAUCUGUGGCGUCCCCGUUUCGGCGCUCGGAUCCGUCUCGGUGGCCCAACCCGCUCCCAUCUCAGUGUGAUCCACCAAAACGUCAUAUGAUGUGGCGUCUACGCUGACGACAUCCGAAAUCGCACGGAUCGACGCCGUCGAUGAGAUUGUUGAUUUGAUCGCUUCGGCCGUCUGCGGAUCAACCAGAUAGCC